UCCGUAGGUGGAUAAUUAAGUCAGAGGUGAAAUCCUGCAGCUCAACUGUAGAAUUGCCUUUGAAACUGGUUAUCUUGAGUUAUUAUGAAGUAGUUAGAAUAUGUAGUGUAGCGGUGAAAUGCAUAGAUAUUACAUAGAAUACCAAUUGUGAAGGCAGAUUACUAAUAAUCAACUGACACUGAUGGACGAAAGCGUGGGGAGCGAACAGGAUUAGAUACCCUGGUAGUCC
rnacentral:rRNA from 1 species